rnacentral:tRNA from 1 species
GCUCAGUUGGUAGUAGCGCAUGACUGUUAAUCAUGAUGUCGUAGGUUCGAGUCCUACUGCCG